AGAGUUUGAUCCUGGCUCAGAUUGAACGCUGGCGGCGUGCUUAACACAUGCAAGUCGAGCGAGAAAGUUCUCUUCGGAGAAUGAGUAGAGCGGCGCACGGGUGAGUAACGCGUGGAUGAUCUACCCUGAAGAUCGGGAUAACAGUUGGAAACGACUGCUAAUACCGUAUAAUCUGCAUAUUUAACUUUAUGUGGGAAAGGUGGCCUCUAUUUAUAAGCUACCACUUUUGGAUGAGUCCGCGUCUCAUUAGCUUGUUGGUGGGGUAAUGGCCUACCAAGGCUACGAUGAGUAGCUGGUCUGAGAGGAUGAUCAGCCACACUGGGACUGAAACACGGCCCAGACUCCUACGGGAGGCAGCAGUGGGGAAUAUUGCGCAAUGGGGGAAACCCUGACGCAGCGACGCCGCGUGUAGGAAGAAGGCCUUCGGGUCGUAAACUACUGUCAAGAGGGAAGAAACUGUAAGGUCAUAAUACGUCCUUUCACUGACGGUACCUCUAGAGGAAG
rnacentral:rRNA from 1 species